rnacentral:rRNA from 1 species
ACGAAGGGUGCAAGCGUUACUCGGAAUUACUGGGCGUAAAGCGUGCGUAGGUGGUUCGUUAAGUCUGAUGUGAAAGCCCUGGGCUCAACCUGGGAAUGGCAUUGGAUACUGGCGAUCUAGAGUGCGGUAGAGGGCAGUGGAAUUCCCGGUGUAGCAGUGAAAUGCGUAGAGAUCGGGAGGAACAUCUGUGGCGAAAGCGACUUCCUGGACCAAUACUGACGCUCAUGUGCGAAAGCGUGGGGAGCAAACAGGA